AACCCGGUGAUCUAGCCAUGGGCAGGUUGAAGGUUGGGUAACACUAACUGGAGGACCGAACCGACUAAUGUUGAAAAAUUAGCGGAUGACUUGUGGCUGGGGGUGAAAGGCCAAUCAAACCGGGAGAUAGCUGGUUCUCCCCGAAAGCUAUUUAGGUAGCGCCUCGUGAAUUCAUCUCCGGGGGUAGAGCACUGUUUCGGCAAGGGGGUCAUCCCGACUUACCAACCCGAUGCAAACUGCGAAUACCGGAGAAUGUUAUCACGGGAGACACACGGCGGGUGCUAACGUCCGUCGUGAAGAGGGAAACAACCCAGACCGCCAGCUAAGGUCCCAAAGUCAUGGUUAAGUGGGAAACGAUGUGGGAAGGCCCAGACAGCCAGGAUGUUGGCUUAGAAGCAGCCAUCAUUUAAAGAAAGCGUAAUAGCUCACUGGUCGAGUCGGCCUGCGCGGAAGAUGUAACGGGGCUAAACCAUGCACCGAAGCUGCGGCAGCGACACUAUGUGUUGUUGGGUAGGGGAGCGU
rnacentral:rRNA from 1 species